rnacentral:rRNA from 1 species
CCUACGGGUGGCAGCAGUGAGGAAUAUUGCACAAUGGGGGUAACCCUGAUGCAGCGAAGCCGCGUGAGUGAAGAAGUAUCUCGGUAUGUAAAGCUCUAUCAGCAGGGAAGAAAAUGACGGUACCUGACUAAGAAUCCCCGGCUAACUACGUGCCAGCAGCCGCGGUAAUACGUAGGGGGCAAGCGUUAUCCGGAUUUACUGGGUGUAAAGGUGGCGUAGACGGUCAUGCAAGUCAGAAGUGAAAGCCCGUGGCUCAACGACGGGACUGCUGUUGAAACUGUGUGACUGGAGUGUAUGUGAGGCAAGCGGAAUGCGUGGUGUAGCGGUGAAAUGCUUAGAUAUCAGGAGGAACCACAGUGGCGAAGGCGGCUUAC